rnacentral:rRNA from 1 species
GAGUUUGAACCUGGCUCAGGACGAACGCUGGCGGCGUGCCUAAUACAUGCAAGUCGAGCGAGCUUGCCUAGAUGAUUUUAGUGCUUGCACUAAAUGAAACUAGAUACAAGCGAGCGGCGGACGGGUGAGUAACACGUGGGUAACCUGCCCAAGAGACUGGGAUAACACCUGGAAACAGAUGCUAAUACCGGAUAACAACACUAGACGCAUGUCUAGAGUUUGAAAGAUGGUUCUGCUAUCACUCUUGGAUGGACCUGCGGUGCAUUAGCUAGUUGGUAAGGUAACGGCUUACCAAGGCAAUGAUGCAUAGCCGAGUUGAGAGACUGAUCGGCCACAUUGGGACUGAGACACGGCCCAAACUCCUACGGGAGGCAGCAGUAGGGAAUCUUCCACAAUGGACGAAAGUCUGAUGGAGCAACGCCGCGUGAGUGAAGAAGGGUUUCGGCUCGUAAAGCUCUGUUGGUAGUGAAGAAAGAUAGAGGUAGU